rnacentral:misc_RNA from 1 species
CUUUAGGGAGACCUGCUCGAUUCUCACCGAAACCCAAACAUUAAUCGGGAGAAUCAGCUAUCCCAAGGUCGUUCGAGACUAGACAAUUUCUGGCUUUCAAACUCUUUGUUCGGUUCAGCAUCAUGUUGAUCAACAUGAUGCUCCACCUGGGGAGGUGAGAACGCACACCUGAUCAGGGUUCCGUACCUGUGUCGAAAGGUAGAUGGAAGACAGACGGAUUGUUUUCUUCUAUGAAUCAAGCAAGCUGGGUGUAUGUAUAAAGGAAUGGCACGGCCUUUGAACUGCAUCUGUCUUGAGUGAGUGUGCAUCUUACAAGCAUGCCUUCCGUUCGGUCUAGCUAGGGCUGGCUGACGAUGGCUACAGCACGCAAUAGAUAGAGCACACACAGAUCUGAAGUCAUCUAUAAAUGUUAGAGACCAGAAAGACUGCUGGAUUUUAUUCAGCAAUGAACCUUUGAAAACUGCAUAAAGAAUAAGAAUCAAAGGGAAAAACCUUUUAAAUCCAAUGUGAUUGUGAU